CGUCGUUAGGUGUUAGUAACUGUGACUGUCAGUUUGUGCGUGCGACUGUGAGAGAGAGAGAGUGCAAGGGGACCAGCGAUGGAGCGAGAGAAAGCGAGAGUGAGCUUGGAGGGAGGGAGAGUGAUUCUGGUGCCGUACAUGAACGAACAUGUCCCAAAAUACCACGAGUGGAUGAAAGACCCAGCUCUCCUCCAAGCCACUGGCUCCGAGCCCCUCACCCUCGACCAGGAAUACCAGAUGCAGCUCACCUGGACCCAAGACCCCAACAAGCAGACUUUCAUUGUAUUGGAUAAGCAAUUGCUUUUGGGAGAGUUCAGCCAUGGAGAGCCCCGUGUGGAAGCCAUGAUAGGUGAUGUGAACUUAUAUAUGAAUGAUCUCGAUGAUCCACACAUGGGAGAGAUUGAAAUAAUGAUUGCUGAACCCAGAAGUCGUGGUCAAGGACUUGGAAAGGAAUCUGCCUUAAUGAUGAUGGUUUUUGCAAUUGAAAAUUUGGGAAUCCACGUCUUCCGUGCUAAAAUUGGGGACCAAAACGGAGCGUCUCUUAGCUUGUUUUGGAAAUUGGGCUUUGAGGAGACUUCUCAUAGUGAAAUCUUCAAAGAGGUGACCUUGGAUUUACAUGUAACAAAGAACAAGCAUGAGGAGCUGCUGCAGAUGGGUAGCUUCGUGACUCAUACCUAGCCGUCAAGGGCCUAUUUGUUUGUGCCAAUUCUCUACUUCACAAUCAACAUCAACUCUUUCACUAGUGCUUGGUUGCCGUAUAUGAUUGAACUGUGGUGCUAGUAGCUAUUGUGCAGAUAUGUUUGAAACUUGAAAGCAAGAGGUCUUGUUUGCAUUCAGGGGCUGUAACUGGUUAUAGGUGUUGUAUAAACUGCUUCUCUCCCGUUACAACUGUGCAAAGAUCGAAGAUAGCCUUCCGGUUGGAUUGAUUACCAAAGCAAUCCAUCCUGUAGAAGCUUGAGUAGUUCUGCUAGCUAAAUUGGAUGCUUCUGGUGGAUUGAAUGUAGUUCCAAUGGAGGCGGGGUUGUAGUACCUGAAGGGUCACUUCAAGAACCGAAGAUUCAGUUGGUCGAAAAGGUGCAAUCAGAGCAGGUUUUAGUUUCAGCAGGAAUAAGUAACCACAAGAAGAUUGAGAAAAUUGAAAAUUAUAAAAAGAAAAUAUAUAAAAAGUUCUUGCAGUUA